AGGAAUGUCUGGGCUAAUGGCCCUGACACGAGGACACCUCCGUCCACAAAGACGGUCAUUGAGCGACGUCUGCUCGAAAUGAAUGAUCGUAGAGGUAGUGAAAUAUUCGAGCCAGUGGUCGGAACCGACUUCGACUCAUGUCAAGAAGCAUAUGAUUUCUACAAUUUGUAUUCGUGGGAGCAUGGAUUCGGCAUUCGGCGUGGCAGAAGCAGAGUUAACACAAACAAGUACAAGUUGAUGCACGAAAUUGUUUGUCAAUGUGCGGGCAAAAAUGACAAAGAAAACUCGUCAUCAUGCAAGAUCGAUUGCAAGGCCAUUGUGAGAUUGCUGCGUACCAAGGAUCAUGGAUGGUACGUCAGUAUGUUUGUCAAGAAGCACAACCAUCGUUUGUCGGUUGGAUACGAUGCAAAACUCCAGUGGAAUUCACACGAUUUCAUAGACCCUGUUUCAUUUGACUUCAUCAAGAAUCUUCGAAGCAAUAAUGUCAGUGUUGGCAAAGUUUAUAACAUUUUGACAAAAUAAAAGAUGAUCUGAAAAAAAAACAUGAAACUUCUGCAAGAUAUGAAGAUGGAGGACAUGAAUUUGAAGGUUGAGAUAGACGUAGACGGAGAUGGUCGUGUCCGUACAAUGCUAUGGGUGACAGGAAAAAAUCGUCAGGACUAUUUUCACUUUGGUGACGUCAUUACCUUCGACACAACAUACAAGACCAAUUUGUAUAACAUGCCGUUUGCCAUGUUUGUCGGGGUAAACAACCACUUCCAGUCUAUUAUAUUCGGUGGUGCACAAAUGCGAGAGGAAACUGAAGCUGCUUUUCAUUGGCUGUUUAAGACUUUUGUGGCUCUGAUGAAUGACAAGCAUCCCGUGACGAUCCUAACAGGUAAUCAAGCUUCAGCUAUGAAAGGUGCGAUUGAGAGUGCUCUCCCGAACACUAAACACAGAUGGUGUAAAUGGCAUGUCCUCCGGGACGUUAAAGGAAAUAUUGGCCAUCUGUACAACAAGUCUUCUGGGUUCAAGAAGGAAUUCAACAAGCUAGUCAACGAUGUGAUGUGUGUCGAUGAGUUCGAAUCCAAAUGGUUGUCCCUUGUGGACAGGUUCAGUGUCAGUGAUAAUGAGUAUAUGGUGAGACUAUAUGAUAAGAGGGCCAUGUAGGCAAAGCCGUAUUUCAAGGGAAUUUUUUGUGCUGGAAUGACAAGCACACAGCGUAGCGAGAGUGCUAAUCAUAUGCUGAAACAGUACAUACCGAGGUCAUCCCCCAUGCAUGUGUUUGUUCGCCAAUACAACAAAUUCCUCGGGUCAAGGAUGAGCGAUGAGGCAAGGGAAUUCCAUCUGAAUGCAAAUAAAUCACGUACUUACGAAUCCACAUAUCCAAUAGAGGAUGAUGCUGCAUCAAUAUACACACGCUCUGACGAGCUUUAUAAGUGUGGGAGUUAUGUAGUGACACCUGUGGUGCACGGUGCACAAUACAUGGUUAGCGUCGCACCAUCCAAAGUGAAGGAUGCAACAAAGAGGAAGUGGCGAAAUGUCAAGAUUGAUGACGACGGGCAGUUCAUAAACUGCGAUUGUGGGAUGUUCGACCAUGUCGGUAUGUUGUGCAGACAUGCAUUGAAGGUAUACUGA
rnacentral:rRNA from 1 species